rnacentral:rRNA from 1 species
AUUGAACGCUGGCGGCAGGCCUAACACAUGCAAGUCGAACGAGUGGCGGACGGGUGAGUAAUGUCUGGGAAACUGCCUGCUGGAGGGGGAUAACUCCUGGAAACGGUAGCUAAUACCGCAUACCAUCAGAUGUGCCCAGAUGGGAGUAGCUAGUUGGUGGGGUAACGGCUCACCAAGGCGACGAUCCCUAGCUGGUCUGCGAGGAUGACCAGCCAAACUGGAACUGCGAAACGGGCCAUACUCCUACGGGAGGCAGCAGUGGGAAAUAUGGCACAAUGGGCGCAAGCCGUAUGCAUCCAUGCCGCGUGUAUGAAGAAGGCCUUCGGGUUUUAAAGUACUUUCAGCGGGGAGGCGUUACCCGCAGAAGAAGCACCGGCUAACUCCGUGCCAGCAGCCGCGGUAAUUC